rnacentral:lncRNA from 1 species
UCAAGCACAUAUACUUUACACCCAGAAAAAUAGUUUCAUAUAACAACAAUGAUAAAGUAAGUUCGCCAAUCCAGAACAACAAGAAGAAUAAGUAUAUUUCCACAAAUCCACAUAAAAUCUCAUUGAUUAUUAACUGAACAAAAAAAUAGGAACACAGAAGCUGAAACAUGGUUCUACUUCAAUACAAUAACACAUACUACAAGCAAUAAUACAUAAGCUUUCUUAUUCAAAUAAAAAAUUAUCAACAAAAGUACUGAAAACAUAGACCAGCUUGACCACAGAUAAAUUUCAUGAUGGUAGAAACACACCCGUUUUAUUAGAAAUCUGGCAAAGAAUAAAACCAGAACAUAAACAAGGAGCAAGAGAUCUCAAACCCGCAUACAACCAAAUGCUUAGAACUCAAAAUCAACAAUAUACUAGAAUCUUUGCUUUGAAGUAUUCAGAUUCCUUGAUCUUCGGUUCCAUCUGCAUAAAUACAAAAACAUUUAUCAAUCAAUAUAUAAAAUGAUUGAAAAGUUACAUAAUAAUAUAUUUUAAACCAAUCAUAAAAAUUACACGACAUACUAGUCGAGUAAAUCAUUCAUUACACGACUACAGUCGAGUAAAUCAUUCAUUACACGACUACAGUCGAGUAAAUCAUUCAUUACACGACUACAGUCGAGUAAAUCAUUCAUUACACGACUACAGUCGAGUAAAUCAUUCAUUACACGACUACAGUCGAGUAAAUCAUUCAUUACACGACUACAGUCGAGUAAAUCAUUCAUUACACGACUACAGUCGAGUAAAUCAUUCAUUACACGACUACAGUCGAGUAAAUCAUUCAUUACACGACUACAGUCGAGUAAAUCAUUCAUUACACGACUACAGUCGAGUAAAUCAUUCAUUACACGACUACAGUCGAGUAAAUCAUUCAUUACACGACUACAGUCGAGUAAAUCAUUCAUUACACGACUACAGUCGAGUAAAUCAUUCAUUACACGACUACAGUCGAGUAAAUCAUUCAUUACACGACUACAGUCGAGUAAAACAUGCAUUGAUCUACAGUCUACUAUAUAAACUAUAGAUUUUUUGUAACAUUGAAAAUACAGUGUUCAUACCCAACGCAUGUCCAGUGAAGAAUUGUUUACAAACUACAGUCCAGUAAAGAACUAAUUAUGCGAAUAUAGUGGAGUAAAAUGUUCAUACCCGACUGUUGUCGAGUAAAGUAUUCAUCACACAACAACAGUCGUGUAAAGAAUUCUUUACUCGACAGCAGUUGUGUAUGAAAUUCUUUACUCGACAGGUAAAGAAAUUCUUUACACGACAGCAGUUGUGUAAAGAAUUCUUUACACGACUUCGGGGUAAAAGUCAGGUAAAUAAAUGCUUUACACAACUGCAUUGGAGAAUUCUUUACACGACUCCAUAGUAAAAGUCAUGUAAAGAAAUUCUUUACACAACUGCAUUGGAGGUUAGAUUAUAAUAACAACUAAAAAAUGGAAAUUGAGCUGCAAAUCACAACCAUAGACUACACAUAGUAGAAUACAAUUAAUUAAACGAAAUCAAUAAAAAAAGAUUCAAGAACCUUGCAAGGAGAGAAAGUUGCCGUGUGUGCAAAUGUGGUCCACUUAAAUAAAAAUGAAAUUAUGGAGACGAACAAAACAACAAAAUGUACACGUUGCCAUCUGCAUUCACUCAAAACUCAAUUCGCUUAACCGGGCCAUAUACUCCUCAUGGAUGGAAAGUAAAAUCUUAGUCCCACCUAACAUUUCCACAGAUAUUAAAUUGAUAAAUUACCUUCAAUUUUUCUCGUUUUACUUAUUUUGCCGCGUUUCGACGAGAGUGUAGAAGAGUUGUU